GAUGAACGCUGGCGGCGUGCCUAAUACAUGCAAGUCGAGCGAACAGACGAGGAGCUUGCUCCUCUGACGUUAGCGGCGGACGGGUGAGUAACACGUGGAUAACCUACCUAUAAGACUGGGAUAACUUCAGGAAACCGGAUCUAAUACCGGAUAAUAUAUUGAACCGCAUGGUUCAAUAGUGAAAGACGGUUUUGCUGUCACUUAUAGAUGGAUCCGCGCCGCAUUAGCUAGUUGGUAAGGUAACGGCUUACCAAGGCAACGAUGCGUAGCCGACCUGAGAGGGUGAUCGGCCACACUGGAACUGAGACACGGUCCAGACUCCUACGGGAGGCAGCAGUAGGGAAUUUUCCGCAAUGGGCGAAAGCCUGCCGGAGCAACGCCGCGUGAGUGAUGAAGGUCUUCGGAUCGUAAAACUCUGUUAUUAGGGAAGAACAAAUGUGUAAGUAACUAUGCACGUCUUGACGGUACCUAAUCAGAAAGCCACGGCUAACUACGUG
rnacentral:rRNA from 1 species